rnacentral:rRNA from 1 species
GACGAACGCUGGCGGCGUGCCUAAUACAUGCAAGUUGAGCGCUGAAGGUUGGUACUUGUACCAACUGGAUGAGCAGCGAACGGGUGAGUAACGCGUGGGGAAUCUGCCUUUGAGCGGGGGACAACAUUUGGAAACGAAUGCUAAUACCGCAUAAAAACUUUAAACACAAGUUUUAAGUUUGAAAGAUGCAAUUGCAUCACUCAAAGAUGAUCCCGCGUUGUAUUAGCUAGUUGGUGAGGUAAAGGCUCACCAAGGCGAUGAUACAUAGCCGACCUGAGAGGGUGAUCGGCCACAUUGGGACUGAGACACGGCCCAAACUCCUACGGGAGGCAGCAGUAGGGAAUCUUCGGCAAUGGACGAAAGUCUGACCGAGUAACGCCGCGUGAGUGAAGAAGGUUUUCGGAUCGUAAAACUCUGUUGGUAGAGAAGAACGUUGGUGAGAGUGGAAAGCUCAUCAAAGUGACGGA